rnacentral:lncRNA from 1 species
GUGUAACUUAAUUGGGGAGUUUGAAGUCAAGGUUAUCAUAGUUGCUAUACCAUUAUGUGCACGUAUGCGAAAAUUAGCCUUCAGAUACCGUUCAAAACUUCAAAUUUUCAGUUCUAAAAGGACCUUUGUGCUUCUUUGGAUACACGAAUGGACUAAACAUGGAAGUGAUCUCACCCUGAACGUAAAGAGGCAAAGCGACCUAGGCAAAAGACUCAUAACUCACGGAGACAAAGAAAGUGUGUUUUGAUGUGAAUAAAUACAGAAAUGAUACCAGGUGGGUUUUUUCCUGCUUGACCCAUGUAAAUCAUGGAUUUUAUAUUAAGCAAAUCUGUUCUUAUUGGCCGGUUGGGGUUGGGGUGGGCCGUUGGCCCAGUUGAAGAUAUAGGGAAUCAAUUGACUUUCUCUAAUGAAUCUAUUCACCCUUGGGAUUAGUUAAGCUCGAUCACCAAAGUUACCUGAACAAAUA